rnacentral:rRNA from 1 species
ACGGGAGGCAGCAGUGGGGAAUAUUGGACAAUGGGCGAAAGCCUGAUCCAGCGACGCCGCGUGAGUGAAGAAGUAUUUCGGUAUGUAAAGCUCUAGCAGCAGGGAAGAUAAUGACGGUACCUGACUAAGAGGCCCCGGCUAACUACGUGCCGGCAGCCGCGGUAAUACGUAGGGGGCAAGCGUUAUCCGGAUUUACUGGGUGUAAAGGGAGCGUAGACGGUAUGGCAAGUCUGAUGUGAAAACCCAGGGCUCAACCCUGGGACUGCAUUGGAAACUGUCAAACUAGAGUGCAGGAGAGGUAAGUGGAAUUCCUAGUGUAGCGGUGAAAUGCGUAGAUAUUAGGAGGAACACCAGUGGCGAAGGCGGCUUACUGGACUGUAACUGACGUUGAGGCUCGAAAGCGUGGGGAGCAAACAGGAUUAGAUACCCUGGUA